rnacentral:rRNA from 1 species
ACAUGCAAGUCGAACGAUGAAGCCCAGCUUGCUGGGUGGAUUAGUGGCGAACGGGUGAGUAACACGUGAGUAACCUGCCCCCGACUCUGGGAUAAGCCCGGGAAACUGGGUCUAAUACCGGAUAUUACCUCUUGCCGCAUGGCAGGUGGUGGAAAGAUUUAUCGGUGGGGGAUGGACUCGCGGCCUAUCAGCUUGUUGGUGAGGUAAUGGCUCACCAAGGCGACGACGGGUAGCCGGCCUGAGAGGGUGACCGGCCACACUGGGACUGAGACACGGCCCAGACUCCUACGGGAGGCAGCAGUGGGGAAUAUUGCACAAUGGGCGAAAGCCUGAUGCAGCGACGCCGCGUGAGGGAUGACGGCCUUCGGGUUGUAAACCUCUUUCAGUAGGGAAGAAGCGAAAGUGACGGUACCUGCAGAAGAAGCGCCGGCUAACUACGUGCCAGCAGCCGCGGUAAUACGUAGGGCGCAAGCGUUAUCCGGAUUUAUUGGGCGUAAAGAGCUCGUAGGCGGUUUGUCGCGUCUGCCGUGAAAGUCCGAGGCUCAACCUCGGAUCUGCGGUGGGUACGGGCAGACUAGAGUGAUGUAGGGGAGACUGGAAUUCCUGGUGUAGCGGUGAAAUGCGCAGAUAUCAGGAGGAACACCGAUGGCGAAGGCAGGUCUCUGGGCAUUUACUGACGCUGAGGAGCGAAAGCAUGGGGAGCGAACAGGAUUAGAUACCCUGGUAGUCCAUGCCGUAAACGUUGGGCACUAGGUGUGGGGGACAUUCCACGUUUUCCGCGCCGUAGCUAACGCAUUAAGUGCCCCGCCUGGGGAGUACGGCCGCAA